CAGUAGCCGCGGUAACACGGAGGAUCCAAGCGUUAUCCGGAAUCAUUGGGUUUAAAGGGUCCGUAGGCGGUCUUGUAAGUCAGUGGUGAAAGCCCAUCGCUCAACGGUGGAACGGCCAUUGAUACUGCAGGACUUGAAUUAUUGGGAAGUAACUAGAAUAUGUAGUGUAGCGGUGAAAUGCUUAGAGAUUACAUGGAAUACCAAUUGCGAAGGCAGGUUACUACCAAUUGAUUGACGCUGAUGGACGAAAGCGUGGGUAGCGAACAGGAUUAGAUACCCGCGUAGUCCCUGUCUCUUAUAC
rnacentral:rRNA from 1 species